rnacentral:lncRNA from 1 species
AUGAUAGGCCAUUGUCAUAAUUUUAGCUUGCUUUUCCCCUUCAUCCACUCGAAUGUUCAGGAGGUUUCAGCCAUAGUUCUCUAGGAGAAGAGAAGUAAAUCAACUGAUUGAUUCUAGUUCUACUGGAAUUAUAGGAAUGGAAAGUAUUUGAAAUUUUUUAGAUUACUAUCUAGCUAAUGCUUGAUUUUUCUGCCAAUUCCCUUGUACAUCACUCUCGGCUGCAAGGCACAGCAAAGCUGACUUGCAU